GUGCUCACUUUGACAGCACAUAUACUAAAAUUGGAACAAUACCGAGAAGAUUAACAUGACCCCUGCAAAAGGAUGACACGCAAAUUCAUGAAGUAUAUAUAUUACAU